UACGAAGGGGGCUAGCGUUGCUCGGGAUUACUGGGCGUAAAGCGCACGUAGGCGGUCUUUUAAGUCGGGGGUGAAAUCCUGGAGCUCAACUCCAGAACUGCCUUCGAUACUGGAAGACUUGAGUCCGGGAGAGGUGAGUGGAACUGCGAGUGUAGAGGUGAAAUUCGUAGAUAUUCGCAAGAACACCAGUGGCGAAGGCGGCUCACUGGCCCGGUACUGACGCUGAGGUGCGAAAGCGUGGGGAGCAAACAGG
rnacentral:rRNA from 1 species